UACGUAGGGGGCCAGCGUUGCUCGGAAUUACUGGGUGUAAAGGGUUCGUAGGCGGUGCGGCAAGUUGGGAGUGAAAUCUCUGGGCUCAACCCAGAGACGGCUUCCAAAACUGCCGUGCUUGAGUGUGAGAGAGGCUCGUGGAAUUGCAGGUGUAGCGGUGAAAUGCGUAGAUAUCUGCAGGAACGCCCGUGGCGAAAGCGGCGUGCUGGAUCCCUACUGACGCUGAGGCACGAAAGCGUGGGGAGCAAACAGG
rnacentral:rRNA from 1 species